rnacentral:rRNA from 1 species
AACAGGAUUAGAUACCCUGGUAGUCCCAGCCGUAAACGAUGAAUACUAGGUGUCAGGGGUAUCGACCCCCCUGGUGCCGCAGCUAACGCAAUAAGUAUUCCGCCUGGGGAGUACGGCCGCAAGGUUGAAACUCAAAGGAAUUGACGGGGGCCCGCACAAGCGGUGGAGCAUGUGCAUUAAUUCGUCACUAACCGAAGAACCUUACCAGGGUUUGACAUCCCACGACCGCCGGUGAAAGUCGGUUUUCCUCGCAAGAGGACGUGGAGACAGGUGUUGCAUGGUUGUCGUCAGCUCGUGUCGUGAGAUGUUGGGUUAAGUCCCGCAACGAGCGCAACCCUCACCCAAUGUUGGCAGCGUAAAGUCGGCAACUCUUUGGGAACUGCCCGUGUAAGCGGGAGGAAGGUGGGGAUGACGUCAAAUCGGCAUGGCCCUUACAUCCUGGGCUUGACACAUGCUACAAUGGACGUUAAACAGAGCGCCGCAAGACCGCGAGGUCAAGCCAAUCGCAAAAAUACGUUCUCAGUUCGGAUUGCAGGCUGCAACUCGCCUGCAUGAAGUCGGAAUCGCUAGUAACCGCAGGUCAGCUAAACUGCGGUGAAUACGUUCCCGGGCCUUGUACACACUGCCCGUCAAGUCACCUGAGUUGUCUGCAGCCGAAGUCAGUGGCCUAACCGCAAGGAAGGAGCUGCCUAAGCUGUGGGGAGCGAGGGGGACUAAGUCGUAACAAGGUAACC